GCGGGUAUAGUUUAGUGGUAAAACCAAGCUAACGAUGCGGGUUCGAUUCCCGCUACCCGCUCGAUAUUUGAAUUCUAUCU
rnacentral:tRNA from 1 species